ACGUGUUCCAUCCGCCGUAGUUAGACCGUGUUAGUGAGGGAAGAUCUUAUAGAAAAGGGAUUAACACCUGAAUUGCAACAAUUUCAUUGUCUUGGAUCUCUUUCGGUUUCAAACUCUAAAACAAACAUUCAAAAAUAAUUUGUCUUCUCAGUGUCCUCUAUGUUUUCUCUUAGCGAUCAAUCAGUUAUUCGUCCUCCUUAUUCACUCAGAAUAACACCCAAACCAGUAGGACCUCUAACAUAUCAUCAUGUCUCUCUUCGUUUCCCUUACAAUAUCAACAUCAAAAAUACUUCGUUGAAACCGAUGAAUGCUAACAAGGAGGAGGUAAGGCAGUUUACCCCAACUGAGAUCAAGGAUAAAGUUGCCCCAAUUCUUAAACCUCUUCUAACAGUAGAAGAAAAACCCUCCGGUGAAAAAUCAAUUCCCUUACCAAAAUCGAAAACCCCCACUCCGAAAACCAGAAGCAGAGGCAAAUUCAAAAAAAGACUCAGAACCAAAAGCAAAUUUGGUCGCAAGGGCAUAAGGCUUAAAUGUGUGAGAGUGUCUUCUGGUGGCGAGAAGGAUGUAUUCCCUCGACACGUCAAUCUUCAGGGAACAGACAAUUGGGUAUACAAUCUGUGAUGGUUCUGAGAAAGUCUGAAGUGGAAAGGGGUGGUGAGGCCAAUUAUACCACUACAGAUUGCUGAUCUGCUUUCUAAUCUGCUGCAACAGCUUAUAUCCGAUUCCGUUAGCUACCCUAUUUACAUUACUUGUAAACAGAUGUAAUCACCGCUAUCACUACUUACUUCCCACGUAGUUAUUGUUUCUCGAGAGGAACUACGUCAGCUUAGCUAUUAGUCAGUAUAACUUUCCCACCUUUUGAAGAUAACAUAUAGUAGAACAUCCCCUCUUCCCUCCCACAAUCAGUCACUCGGCUCACCUUCGGUGUUCCAUGAAAUCUUGACAACUGGGACAACUUAGUCUUUGAAAUACAAUGUAAAUAAUAAUAUUUUGUUAUCGGUGAUGCUUAGAUCUGUCAGAUUAGGCAUUUCCCAUGUAUAUUGUUUUGGUUGACAAUUCUAAACUCUUAGGGGUAAAUAACAACAAACUUUUGAUU